rnacentral:rRNA from 1 species
AUUGAACGCUGGCGGCAGGCCUAACACAUGCAAGUCGAGCGGAUGACGGGAGCUUGCUCCUUGAUUCAGCGGCGGACGGGUGAGUAAUGCCUAGGAAUCUGCCUGGUAGUGGGGGACAACGUGUCGAAAGGAACGCUAAUACCGCAUACGUCCUACGGGAAAAAGCAGGGGACCUUCGGGCCUUGCGCUAUCAGAUGAGCCUAGGUCGGAUUAGCUAGUAGGUGAGGUAAUGGCUCACCUAGGCGACGAUCCGUAACUGGUCUGAGAGGAUGAUCAGUCACACUGGAACUGAGACACGGUCCAGACUCCUACGGGAGGCAGCAGUGGGGAAUAUUGGACAAUGGGCGAAAGCCUGAUCCAGCCAUGCCGCGUGUGUGAAGAAGGUCUUCGGAUUGUAAAGCACUUUAAGUUGGGAGGAAGGGCAGUAAGUUAAUACCUUGCUGUUUUGACGUUACCGACAGAAUAAGCACCGGCUAACUCUGUGCCAGCCGCCGCAGUAACAC